UUUUUUUUUUUUUUUUUUUUUGUGAUUUGAGACACUUUGAUGAUUUUACCGUCCAAAGCGUGUAGAAUAAAAAUUAAUUCCCCGUCUUACCAUGAUGCAACCAUUGAGUAGGUAAAAUUAGAGCUGGCAAUUAUAUCCAAAACCCAACAAUCCAUCCAACUCCCUCACUAAUUUGAGAGGUUGGAUUGGAUAAGUUGGGUUUUGGGUUAAUUUUGGGUUGGGUAAUAAAGACUCAUAUAUAUUUUGGGUGGUUUGGGUAUUUGUGUUAGGCACCCAUUACCUAAUUUAAGUUAAAAAAAUAAACUAACAAAUUAAAAUCAAGAAGCAAAAAAAAAAUGACCAGCUUUGUUGGAUCAAGCAAAACAUCCGCUAGCCAAGUUGUCCAAAAUCUGCCAAAUUAGCUAUUCCGGACACUCACAGAACUCCAAAAGCUGUUACAGUCCAAAUUCAUUACAUGGUCGCUGGGGCUUCAUUUGGCUAAUUUGUCCGGAAUAGCUAAUAGUUCAUGAAUUUGGCAGAUUUCUUAGAAAUAUGUCCGAAAUAGCUAAUGCUAAAUCAAGUAACAAGACUUAGAAAAUUGUAUAUUGGUAUGCCAUUUUUCAUGCUAUAUUCAACUUGAACCAAAAUUGUUGCUUCGGUCUCUUAGUUUGGACCAAAGCUAUACCCAAUUUAAAAAUCCUUACUUGUAUAAAAAAUAGUGAGUUCAUCCAAGUAAUUUACAUAGCUAGUAUGUGUGUGUAUUUGUGAAAGUAUAUUAGUGUGUAUUGUAAUGUGUUUGCAUGUGUAAAAAUAACGUAUUUCAAAAGAGUUUAAAAAGUGAGUGUGUGUGUGUGUCUAUGAGUGUUUUAGUGUGUAAAAAUAUGUCUAUCUAUGUGAAAAUGUGUUUAUGUGUGUGAAUUUUUUUUUUGUAUGUAAAAAUAUAUUUGAGAGAGUUAUGUAUCAAAUUCUAUUAAUUAAUAUAUUGGGUCAUAGGUUUCCCAAUUGGGCUAUCAUAUGCUUCCAAGAAUCAUGAGCUCAAACAUAAAUUGUUAAUCAAUUCUAUCAAAAUGAUGGAGUUUGAACCUCAAAUAGAAAAAAAAAAAAAAAAAAAAGAUAACAAAGUUCCUUGACGGCAAAUUGACACGUGUUUGAAAAGAAAUAGCACAAAACCAUCAUUAAAUUCAGCGAAACGAAAUUACACAAAAUAGGCCAACAGCAAAAUAUCUGAAUAAUCUCAUUGAUUGUUUCCACCAUAUCUUGACAAGAAAAGAGCCAUCGAUCCUUUCCAACAUUUACCUCCAUCUUCCACAAAAAUAUUAAAGAAAGCCAGACCGCACAGAUGAUCAAUUACAAUCUAAAGAGGAAAAACCACCGUAGCAUGUACUCCCUAAUGAUAUCAUUAAGAAAAAAAAAAUAGAGCAAUAAUUAGUUGUUUGCUCAUCAAUUUCAAUGUGCUUGUGCAUGCAUUACAGGCAACUGAAGUACAAAAAAGCUACCAAAUGGUAAAUAUAAAUUAAAUUUGUUUAAAAAUGAAAAGCAUGAUUAUUUCUACAAGCCAAUUAACGGUAAUGACAAAAAAGGAAAUUACCAGAUAUUGCACCAGCUGAUGCCCUUCAAUCUAUGAUGAUCUCCAGAUUCACAUUUCCAUAAUUUUUCUGUGCUUCUUCAAUUUCCCGUACUAAAGAUUUGACACGAUCUCCGCAAUGGUCGAUCUCAAUCGUUUCAAGAGUUGAUAUACGCCCUAAACAAGAAGGCAUCAUUUUCAAAAUACGAGUACUGUCGAGAUUUAAUUGCUGAAGACACAGGAAGUAAUCAUCACUGUCAGGGUCCGUCUCUGUCCACUCCACAACCUUAAAAUAUGUCAAAGUCAAGACCCUGAGUUUAGGGAAUCCUCCUUCCAUCAGCUCCCAUCUUUGGCCCUCCAUUGACUGCAGUCUUAAUUCGAGGACUUCAAGGUUGGGUAGUUCUUCAAUCAAUGACAUUUUACUACAGGGAAGACCCAGAUUUUCAAGACUCAACUUCUUCAAAUUCAUGGGAAAGGGAACCUCAACAUGUUCCCAUGAACCUGAGGAGUAAUUGCCCCACCAGGUGAGUGAUUCUAGGCAUUCUAGAUGACUCAUGUUCAACACUCCAUUUCCAGUGUGAUAAUCGGAAAUUUUAAGUUGGCGAAUGUUAGGAAUCCUUCUCAAUAAGUUCUCUCCCUCUUUAAAAAGACACAAGCAAGAGAGUGUGUCUAAAUUGGGUAAAGUGGAGAGGUUUUCAACACCGUUGUCGUUGGAAGGCAGAUGAAUAGCAACGCGCCCUCUUACAUGUAUAUGCCUCAACUUCUUCAUGUUCCAGAUGCUAUCUGGCAAUGAAACGACCAAGUUGGAAUGUAGCCAAAAGGUUUCCAAAUGUGAGAGCUUGGCUAUAGAUGGUGGAAUGAAUUGCAUGUCCUCUGCUUCAAGGGCUAAGUACCUCAAACAAAGAAGUGACUCGACUUCAGCUGGAAGCUCCUUCAGCCUUAGGUUAAUGCCCUCUAAAUUCAGAACGUUAAGAUGUUUGUAGAUGCAAAAAAGGAAGGAGAUAUUAAACAACUUAUCAUAUCUUGGAGUAGCAUCAAAGAGUAGCAGACUGGCUAAAUGCGGACAAAAUAGCCUUGACUUUAUAAAAUCUUCUACACUGGAGCAAAUGGACAACCGAGGUAGGUUGGGAGGCUCAUUAAAGGUAGAAAGCUCAUCAUAUCCUCCCAGGACCUGAAGGAAUUUCUUUUCUUUCGCCUUGCCCUUACAGAACUCAAAUAUCAAAUCGUGAAUGUAACAAGUUUUGACUCCACCAAUGGACCUGUUCUUACCUACCAUAACUAGGUUUCGGCCAAUUAGGUCCAUCAGAUAUUCUUCUGCAAUAUCCUCUGAUUUCUCUCCUUCAAUUAUUUCCACAAAUCCUUCUGCAAUCCAUAGACACGUCAACUUCUUGGCACCAAUUUUUUCAUCUUCUGGAAAUGCAGCAAAAUACAGCAAGCAUGCCUUCAAGUGAUAUGGUAAAUGCUCAUAACUGAGCUCCAAUGACUUCUUCCACUGGUCUGUACCAGACACCAUGGUUGAAGUUAAACUUUCAGCAAACUUUUCCCAAAGCAAAAUAUCAUGCUUUAUUGUUGCUAGAAUUCCAGCUACAACAACAACUGCAAAGGGUAAUCCCCAGCACUUUUUGACAAUCUCCAUUCCCAAUUCAUGCAACGCUUGAGGACAUUCCUCUUCUUCUCCAAACACCUUCUUCUGCAGCAAUUCGAAACUCUCUUCGACAGUAAGGCAGCGAAUCUUGUGAGGUUCUCUACCAUAUUGAACCUGUGAAGCUACAUUAGAAGAUCGACUCGUGAAGAUGAUUCUACUUUGGUUUUUGUCAUCUGGGAAUGAAAUUCUCAGCUCAUUCCAUACCUUAAUGUCCCAGACAUCAUCAAAAACAACAAGAUACCGAUUCUUCAAUAGCCUUUGAUAGAGCUUUUCAAGCAACGCAUGUUUAUCCAGAUUUUGAAACUCAUCCUUCCUAGAAUGUUUGCCAUCAGAGCACAAAAUUUGAAGUAACACAUUUUUCAUGUUAAAUUCUUGAGAAACAGUACACCAAAGACGAAUGUGGAAGUGACAGGUUACUGAACUAUCAUUGUAAACUUUUUUGGCUAAAGUUGUCUUACCAAGCCCAGCCAUUCCCACAAUGGGAACAAUUUCCACCUGUUUUGAUCCCCAUCUAAGUCGUCCAAUUACUUUUGCUGCCUCAUCAUCAAGACCAACCAUGAUUUCACGAGCUAUUGGCAUUUUACCUUUUGAUAGCAUGCGGCUGGAAGUCUGGCUAACUUCUGGUGCUCUUAAGCUAUGAGAGGAAUUAGGAAGACUCUGUAUAGUACUUGAGAUAAGUGGUUCAAUUACUUUUUCUGCCUCAUCAUCAAGACCAACCAUGACUUCAUGGUCUAUUGGCAUUUUACCUUUUGAUAGCAUGCGGCUGGAAGUCCGGCUAACUUCUGGUGCUCUUAAGCUAUGAGAGGAAUUAGGAAGACUCUCUAUAGUACUUGAGCCACUGAUCUGAUCCUUAAAAUUCUUGAUAUGGAUGUUGGUACUAGCCAGCAUAUCACAAAAAUCAAGAACCUGGGUGGAUCCUGAGAAGCUAACUUCUCCUUCUAUCACUCUGCUCAGAGUGGGCGUGAAUAUUAUAAUGCCUGCCUCACCAAGGAGAGCUCCAAUUUUUUCAUUUUGUUCAUCCAUCAUCUCAUGAUGCUCCCUUAAAAUGCUUCUCAAAAACCUCAGGCCUGCAUAGAGUAUUCGCAUUUGAUUUUUCAUAGAAUCUACAAAGCUAGAGCUGCAGCAUAACAACUCCCAGAGACGACUUAUCAGAGAAUCAUUGAAGUUGUUCAAUAUCCGCUCAUCCAUCACUGCUGUAUGUAAUGAUGCUGAGGAGUUUGAAGCUGCAAGUACUUCCUUAUAAAUCUCGUAGACAUGAAAAUCAACCGCUCUGAUGCUGAGGAGUUUGAAGCUGCAAGUACUUCUGUACUCAACAUUUUUCCAAAAGGACCACAUGUAAGAGAGGCGUGCUGCGGUCAAAGCCACCACUUCAAAGUGAGAUAAUAGCAAGGCAGGAAUAUCUGCGGUUCCUCGCAUUUUGGCAAAGGGAAUAAAGCUUUUCAAGAAUGUCAGCUUUGCUUCAAGAUCUUGGACUUGAGCAGUCAAAGGAGCACUCAAAGGAUCAUAUUUAUGAAUUCGCCAAUUCAUAUAGUCAUUGGUCAAAUCUGCUAGAUUUUGCAGGAUGAGGUCUAUGAAUUCCAACAGUUCAUCAUCUGUCAUACAAGAAUUUGAUUGAAAUGACCUGCUGCUUGCCAAAGCAAGGUAAAUUUGGAUGAUUUCUUGCUUGAGUGAUGUGAUCUUUUUCUCAAUUUCGCGGAACACUCCACGAGCAAAAAUAGAAUUGUUAAAGUCAAGCCACAGCAGCAAUUCUUGACUUCUUGCUGCAGCCGCAAUUCUUGAUUCUUGACUGUGGCAGAAUUUUGUAAUCCCACAUCGCCAGAAGCUGAGGGAAUAGCCUCCAUUGUUUCCUAUAAAUAGAGAAGGCCUUUGAGAAGUUUAAGUGCACCACUCAAGAGAGUUAUAUGGGCUAUUAGCUUCUUGAGUCAUCUAGCCCAUUUAGUCAAAUAUUUUAGGCUCUCUUGUAUUGUGUUUAGGAAUAUUUCCUAAAUCUUUUAUAAGUGCCUUUUGGCCUAGGAACCACUUUCCUACGGCUUUUGUAUUUCUUCUUCAUAGUUGAAAUAUUGCUCCUCCCUCGCCCGUGGACGUAGGUCAAUUUGACCGAACCACGUAAAUCUUCUGUAUCUUUUAUUUGCUUUGUUAUCCGUCUUUAUAUGGUCGGUUUUACCGCCUAAUUAUUAUAUGGCCGGUAUCUACCGCCUAUCUAUUAUAUGGUCGGUUAUACCGCCUACUUUGUGCUAACUUGAGUUUGUCUAUUUCCUGGCCCGGUCCUUAACAAACUGGUAUCAGAGCUGGUUAUAUUUUGCAAGACAGUUUUAUCUGGUGGGUCCCGUUCAUCUGGUGGGGUCCGUCCAUCCUGUGGGGCCCACUCAUUCUGUGGGGUCCGUUUAUCCGUGGGGCCCACUCACCUUGUGGGGUCCGAUCAUCCCCGUGGGGCCCGCUUAUCUCGUGGGGCCCGCUCACCCUGUGGCCCGCUCACGAGACUUGCAUAUUUGUUUGGCCAGUUUUUUGAGACAAACUUCAAGUUACAGAAUUUGUGGCAACAAUGACGAUAACAAAGACGGUUGUCGAGAAAUUCGACAGGAAUGUCAACUUCGGAAUGUGGCAGCUCAAGAUGGAAGCCAUUCUUGUUCAAGACGGAGUUGAUCUAGCGAUUCACGGAAUCGAGAACAAACCAGAAGAAGUCAAGGAUGCGGAUUUCGCCGAUAUGGAUAAGAAGGCCAGAUCCAGCAUAAUCUUAAAUCUCUCCGAUGAGGUAUUGCGUGAGGUAGCAACGGAGACUUCGGCCAAGGCUAUGUGGGAUAAAUUGAAAGCCUUGUAUAUGAAGAAGACAGUCGAGAAUCGACUAUAUCUGAAGCAGAGUUUGUACAUGCUUCGGAUGUCUGAAGGUACAUCUAUACUCUCCCAUCUUGAUAAAUUUGAUUCCAUUAUUAUGGAUUUGGGGAAUAUAGAUUCGAAAAUUGAUGAUGAAGAUCAAGCCCUAUUACUUUUGUGUUCCCUUCCCCAGUCUUUUAAGCAUUUCCGCGAUACUAUGAUUUAUGGAAAGGAAACAAUUUCGUAUCGGGAAAUUAAAUCUGCAUUAAAAUCUAAAGAGCAGAUAGAUAGGGACAUUACUGGGGAAACUAGUGGGAGUCAAGCCGAUGGCUUGUUUGUUCGGGGUAGAUCUGAAAAGAGAAACACAGAAAAUAGAAGUAGAUCCAAAUCCAGACAUAAAAAUGUGGUGUGCAAUUAUUGUAAAAAGAAGGGCCAUGUUAUCUCUGAUUGCUUUAAAUUGAAAAAUAAAGAAAAGCAAAAAGGGAAAUUUGUUGAGAAAAAUACUGAAUCCGCUGAGGCUAGUAUAGCAGCUGAUGAGAAUGAUGGAACUAUUUUCUGUGCAACGGAAAAUAAUUUUAGGUCUAACAAUGAGUGGAUUUUAGAUUCGGGUUGUUCAUAUCAUAUGUGUCCCAAUAGGGACUGGUUUUCAACAUAUGAAUCAGCUGAAGGUGGAGUUGUCUUAAUGGGCAACAACGCUGUUUGUAAAGUUGUUGGCAAAGGCACAAUCCGGAUUAAAAUGUACGAUGGUAUUGUGAGGACGCUCACAGAUGUUAGACAUGUUCCAGAUUUGAAGAAAAAUCUCAUCUCUUUGGGCACUCUUGAGUCUAUCGGGUGCAGGUAUUCAGGUGGAGACGGAGUUCUCAAAAUUACUCGAGGAGCUCUUGUUGUUAUGAAGGCACACAGAUCUGGUACUUUGUAUAUUUUGCAGGGAUCUACUGUUACAGGUGCUGCUGCUGUUUCAACAUCAUCUUUGUCAGAUACAGACAUCACCAAAUUAUGGCAUAUGCGUUUGGGGCACAUGAGCGAAAAAGGCUUAGGCAUACUAAGCAAAAGAGGGACUUCUUGUGGUCAAAGUACCGGGCCAUUGGAAUUCUGUGAACAUUGUAUUUUUGGGAAGCAGAAAAGAGUCAGCUUCAGUUCACCAGCAAUUCACAAGACAAAAGGUACUCUUGAUUACAUUCAUUCAGAUCUAUGGGGUCCUUCUCGUGCUCCUUCUAAAGGUGGUGCCAGGUACAUGUUGACUUUCAUUGAUGAUUAUUCAAGGAAAGUUUGGGUAUAUUUUCUUAAGCAUAAAAAUGAUGUUUUCCUAACUUUCAAGCAAUGGAAAGUUUUGAUUGAGAAGCAAACAGGAAAACACAUUAAGCGGUUGAGAACAGAUAAUGGCAUGGAAUUUUGUGGAGGUGAAUUUAAUGAAUUCUGCAAGAAUGAAGGAAUUGUUCGGCAUCACACCGUCAGGAUGACGCCUCAACAAAAUGGUGUGGCCGAACGUAUGAACAGAACGCUUUUGGAGAGAGCAAGAUGUAUGAUCUCCAAUGCAGGGUUGACAAACGACUUUUGGGCAGAGGCGAUCAAUAUGGCCUGUUAUAUUGUCAACCGUUCUCCUUCUGCAUCUCUUGAUUUCAAAACUCCUGAGGAAGUUUGGUCAGGUACUCCUGCUGAUUACUCCAAUUUAAAAGUUUUUGGGUGUCCAGCAUACAUGCACGUGAAUGAUGGAAAAUUGGAGCCUAGGGCUAAAAAGUGCAUUUUUCUUGGGUAUGCUUCUGGGGUGAAAGGAUACAGAUUAUGGUAUCCUGAUCCCAAAUCCCCAAAAUUUGUAAUCAGUAGAGAUGUUACUUUUGAUGAAUUAUCUAUGUUAUCUUCCAAGAAGGAGUCUUCUAGUCCUUGUACUACUGAUAGUACACAGAAGCAGGUGGAGCUUGAUAUUGGCAGUUCUGGUCCUUCUCAGACCAAAUCUUCUAUUCAAAUGCCAGUAGAUACACCUGAAUCUACUGUUGAAGAUAGUUCUGAAGAAGAAGAGUAUUCCAUAGCCAGAGAUAGAGCAAGGAGAGACAUUCGACCACCACAAAGAUAUGCAAAUUUAGUUGCAUAUGCUUUAUCUGUUGCAGAAGAAACUGAUGCAAUUGGUGAGCCUUCCACCUAUUCAGAAGCAGUUUCUUGUGAUGAUUCUGCAAAGUGGUUGAUUGCGAUGAAUGAAGAAAUUGAAUCUCUUCAUCGUAAUGAAACUUGGGUUCUUGUAAAGCCGCCGUCAGCUAAGAAAAUUGUUGGAUGCAAAUGGGUCUUCAAGAAGAAGGAAGGUAUUCCAGGGGUUGAAGAUGCAAGGUAUAAAGCACGAUUGGUUGCAAAGGGCUAUAGUCAGGUACAAGGUGUUGAUUUUAAUGAUGUGUUUUCACCUGUUGUUAAACAUAGCUCUAUUCGUGUUUUGCUUGCUUUAGUUGCCAUGUAUAAUUUGGAGUUAGAACAGCUCGACGUUAAGACAGCUUUCUUACAUGGCGAACUUGAAGAACAAAUUUAUAUGAGACAACCCCAGGGUUUUGAAAUUGAAGGUAAAGAAGACCAUGUUUGCUUAUUGAAGAAAUCCUUAUAUGGAUUGAAGCAGUCUCCAAGACAAUGGUAUAAGAGGUUUGAUUCCUUUAUGUUGGGUCAUGGUUAUUCAAGGAGCAUGUAUGAUAGUUGUGUUUACUUCCGGAAGUUAAAUGAUGGUUCUUUCAUUUACUUAUUGUUAUAUGUUGAUGACAUGCUCAUUGCUGCCAAGAAUUUGUCAGAAAUUCACACCUUGAAACUGCAGUUAAAUAGUGAAUUUGAAAUGAAAGAUUUGGGAGCAGCUAAGAAAAUUCUUGGCAUGGAUAUCAAUCGAGAUCGAGGAGUAGGAAAGUUAUUUUUGACCCAGAAAAAUUACCUUGAGAAAGUCUUGGAGCGUUUUGGCAUGAAAGAUGCUAAACCAGUAUCUACUCCUCUUGCUAGCCAUUUUCGGCUAUCUGCUGCUCAAUCACCAAAAUCAGAUGAAGAGGAAGAUUAUAUGGCACGGGUUCCUUAUUCCAGUGCAGUCGGCAGUAUUAUGUAUGCAAUGGUUUGUACUCGUCCAGAUAUUGCACAAGCAGUCAGUGUUGUUAGCAGAUAUAUGUCUUGCCCUGGUAAAACACAUUGGCAGGCUGUGAAGUGGAUUCUCAGAUACUUGCGAGGUACUUCAAAUGUAUGUUUGGAGUUUGGAAGAAAUAAUAACACUUUGGUUGGUUUUGUAGACUCAGACUACGCUGGGGAUCUUGACAGGAGAAGAUCACUUUCAGGCUAUGUAUUUUGCAUUGGCAGUUGUGCUGUUAGUUGGAAAGCUACUCUACAACCUGUCGUAGCUUUGUCUACUAUUGAAGCAGAAUAUAUGGCUGUGACCGAGGCAAUCAAAGAAGCCUUGUGGUUGAAGAGUUUAUUUAGCGAGUUAAGUCUAUAUCAAGGUGUUACUGAUAUUCACUGUGAUAGUCAAAGUGCCAUACACUUGACUAAAGAUCAGAUGUAUCACGAGAGAACGAAGCAUAUUGAUGUGAAGUAUCACUUCAUUCGGGAUAUCAUUGAUGAGGGAAAAGUCCUUAUUCAGAAAAUCAAUACUAAGGACAAUCCAGCCGAUAUGUUUACGAAGCCUCUUCCAAAUUACAAGUUCAAGCAGUGCUUGGACUUGGUUGGUGUUCGUUAUUUGUGAUUUAGACCCAUUGGGUCUUAUGUGGAGAAGGUGGAGCGAUUUUACUAUUGACGAUGGUGGGACUCAAAAUUAUGCCAAGGUGGAGAUUUGUUGAGCCGCAAUUCUUCAGCCGCAAUCCUUGACUGUGGCAGAAUUUCCUCAUCCCACAUCGCCUGAAGCAGAAGGAAAGCCUCCCAAAUACAACUAUAAAUAGGGGGCUCAUAUGAAGGUUUCAAUCGCACCACUCAAGAGAGUUAUAUGGGCUAUUAGCUUCUUGAGUCAUCUAGCCCAUUCAGUCAAAUAUUUUAGGCUCUCUUGUUUUGAGUUUAGGAAUAUUUUCUAAACUAUUUUGUAAGUGCCUAUUGGCCUAGGAACCACUUUCCUAUGGCUUUUGUAUUUCUUCUUCAUAAUAGAAAUAUUGUUCCUCCCUCGCCCGUGGACGUAGGUCAAUUUGACCGAACCACGUAAAUCUUCUGUGUCUUUUAUUUGCUUUGUUAUCCGUCUUUAUAUGGUCGGUUUUACCGCCUAAUUAUUAUAUGGCCGGUAUCUACCGCCUAUCUAUUAUAUGGUCGGUUAUACCGCCUACUUUGUGCUAACUUGAGUUUGUCUAUUUCCUGGCCCGGUCCUUAACAAGAAUUGUGAAUAACCCAUUCAUAUUUUUCCAUUUCUAAUCUAAGGCAAAGAGACAGAAUGUCCUCCUCGGAUUUGUGAAAGGUAUCUUCGAUACAAGAUAAGAAAGAUGGAAGACUCACCUUCUUCACAACAUUGUCAGAUUGCAAGUACAAAUGAACAAGGCUCCACUUUCUAGCACACAUAAGAAACGUUUUGAGAAAUUUCAUGUGUCUGAUUGCAUCACGAACAUCCAAAAGAAGAUUACCACCAACAUGCGAAAGAGAAAAAUUGUCUCGGAAUCUGUUCAGAAGCAACUCUAGACCAAGUAAGACACGAUCGAUGCUGCAAGUGGUGGCCAUCUCCAUCUCUUUUCGAGGGAUUUUCGUCAGUUUCACUCUCAAAUUUUAAGAGAGAAACAAAUCUCACUAACUGCAGAGCUAGCAAAGCAUUUCUUUCCUGAAAAUGGCUUAUUUGUUUCUGGUGAGAAGGUGAAGAAGAGUAUUGAGACAAUCAACCAUUCAACCAGGUGGAAUUGGCAUCAAGGUGGACCCCAGGCAAUGAUAAUCAAUUAUUCAACUAGGUGGAAUUGGAGGUAGGCACCCAAAAUCCAAAUUCAUCUUGAACUAAUCACAAAUGGAGGAAAUUGAUAAACAAGAUUAGUUGACUCUGUCAUCAACAUUUUAUUAGGGAAAUUUGAUAUUAGGGAUCACAUAAAAGUCUAUGUUUUAAGACAAUAACAGCAGUGGUUAGGGUGAUUUAAGACACUUUGAUGAUAUUAUUGCCUCAAUAAAGUAGUGGGUCCGAUUUCAUAGAAUUAUUCGGAAUGAUUGUAUUCCAUUCUUGCGCGUCCCUGUUUUAAUAUGUUUUUUUUUUGCUUCAAGCAUCCACAGUUUAAUAUGUUAAACUUUAUAAUUAGGAAGAACAGAAAACAAAGAAACAUCAAAAUAUAAAUGAUCCAAGAGACGUCACAAUAUAAAUGAUCAAAAUAUAAUGAACCUUCAAGCUAGCUCUCUAAUUUUCUUCAAUUGUUUUCUUUCUUUAGCAAACCACUAAAUUUGAUCACUUUCUCCUCUAAUUAUCUCGUAUUAAUAAUCAUGACCAUUGAUCUUGGAGAUUAAUAACCAUGACCAACAAAGUAAAAGGUAUGAGAAAAAAUAAUUGAGGGCUUCUUCAACCCUUGAUAUUGUGGAAGUAGAGAAUUUGGGAUUUCUGCAAUUACUAGUGUCAAUUAUAUCAUAAAAUAUAUGCAUUACAAUAAUAAAUGUAAACUCUAAGAUAAUAAAUAUAAACAGUAAAACGAUAACCUGCAAAAUUAAUGUUACCAAUAUACAAUGGUCAAAGAAAAUGAUUGGAUUAAAGAAGUGAAAAUUGCUACUAAUUUGUAGUAGUACUUCUUUUCAAGAGUCAGGACUUAAAUGCACGCUCAUUAUUGUACAAAAUUAUCUACUUAUUUCAUAAACACAUUUUUCAAUCAUUUUUUUUUAUUUCAUAUAUAUCACAUCAAAAAAAUAAUAUAAUACUUUUUAAAAAAAUUAUUCCAAAUAAUCUCAUAUUCAAAAGCAAGUUAUAUGCCCAUUUCAGUGUUACUUGGGCCAUUGGAAAUUAAUUCUAGUCUUCUCAUUAGUCAUUAGUCUUUUUUCCACAUUCUGUAGGGGUGGGCACGGGUCGGGUACCCGCCCCGAACGCUAAUUGGCUGACCCGACCAUAACAUAUCGGGUCACUAUUUUUUUGACCCUAAUCCGCUCCGAACUUCCUCGGAUACCCGAAAAAUAGGGGCGGGUCAUAGGGUACCCGCCCCUAUUUAAAGAAUGCAAUUUUUCUCUAAAACUCAUAAGACAUAAGAUGAACCUGCUGGACGAUAGCAUCAUUCAACAAAAAAAAAGGCAACAACAUCAUUCAAAUUCAAACUAGACAAAGAUGGAUCCAUUGAUGAUGAAUGAUCAACAUUUGGGCUUGCAGCUGUAGUAGCUGUAUUAUCCCCUGUACUUGACAUCUGAAAAAUUCAAAAAACAAAUCAAAUGAAAAUCCCACUUCUCUACCAUAUGCGCAGCUAAUACAUAGCUUAGAAACUCCUAUAAAACCAUGUGCAGAUUCAUUUUAGAAAGAAAAGGGCAGUUGGAAUAAUCUUAAGAACAAUAACAAAAAAUUGCUCACAAUCCUCAGUUGCUUGGCCUGCUAAUUUAAAUAUUGAGUGCAAAGUGUAGCUAAACCCAAAGGGGGAAAAAUGUCCAAUGUAUGAAAAGAAAAAGCAAACCAAUAAUCUCAAAAAAAAAAAAAAAGAGUUUUACACUAUUACAACUUCAGCAGGUAUAGAGGUAUUAUCUUAGAAUUUGCACAUUGAAUUGAAUUAUGUUACACAAAAAAGCUAAAGUAAUUAUGCAGCUACAUUGCACUGGAGGAAAAUAACGAACGAUGUAGAGUUUCCAGUGUUUGUUCAUGUCUUAGUAUCUAUAUGCAAGAAUCAAUAAUAUUCUUGAGAAUUAGAAUCAGUAAAUUUUAUGGUACAUCAUAUCUCUUUAAACCUUAGUUGGAUAACUGUGUAAUUUACAACUUAAAGUUUUUGGUUUAAUCUGAAUUUUUGGUUUGAACUCGUCUUGUAGACAUUAGAGCUGAUUACGGUACAUGGACACACUUGUGAAGCAUUUAAUUGAAUAUUUUUUUUUAAUUAGAAACUCAGGACAAAGUGCAGUAUGUUCUUAUUUUUCAGAACCUUAGGCACAAUUUCUCCCACCGUUCUUGAAUUUCAGAACAUAACCUAAGCCUUACGCAUAUGCGUGCAACAGUCCACCAAAAGUACAGAAAAAGCCAUGUAAAGUAAAACUCUCUGCAAAUGAACAACUAGCCUAUGAGAGUUGGUCUAAGACCUCAAAUGUCAAAGCCAUGAGAGUAUCUCCAUGGAAAAUUAUGGCCAGAAUUUGUUUCCGUACCUGUACCAUUUAUGCCGAUUGCCGACCCCCUUUUUGGUUUUUUUUUUUUCUUUUUUCUGUAUGGGUCCAGCAAUUCCUAAUCUUAAUUGUACAACCCAGUUUCGAUUUGGACGAAAGAUCAGAAUCCAUGUAGCCAAUUCGACAAAUGCAUAGACGUACACAAUACACAUAGAUGCAGAAUAGUUUUGCAGAAAGAAUUGAACUUAAAAGAAAAUAGUUAUUGAAAAACCUUGAUAGCUAAACCACCCGGCUCCGGCGUCGGCGGCGUCAGGCGACCUUUUGGCAGCGUCCCUUUACUCGAAGUCGAAGGUAGAAAAGGACGACAACGGAGAAACAGGGCUGAAGAGAAAGGGAUUCGAUUCAGUUAGGCAGUUUGAGGAGUUUUAACGGUAGUUUUCGGCCCUAGGUUUGAGAGACAAGAGCAUCGGCCAUUGAAGAGUGAAGAGUGAAGAGUGUCGACGGCUGAAGCAGAGGAUGAAAUCUGAAGGUUAGGAACCUAGGGUUAAUAACUUAAAAAAUUAUAAAAUUGUCCCUAUAUUUUUUAAUAUUUAUAUAUUAUACCCCCGGGUCGGGUACCCGCGGGUUUUGGCUUUUACGAUCCGUACCCGUAUCCGAAUGUUCCGGAUACCCGACCCUAUCUGAUCCGCUAAGAGAAAUCGGAUCGGAUAUCCUAUUUUUCGGUGCGGAUCGGGUCGGAUCUCUCGGGUUUUCGGGUCAGCGGGUAUUUUUGCCCAAUUGGAAAAUGAGAGAGAUGGGAAACUGGCUAGGGAACCAUCACUUUCCUUGCUUUUUAAUACAGGGCUUAAGGGUAUAAUACCACAUACCUAUUUUUAAAUGUUUGAUAUCAAUUCUUAGUAUUUAAGUGGAAAACUUCCACGAGUCAACUAAGAAUUAGUGGUAAUAGUCUGAAGAGUUAGAACCGAAAUGCAGGCUAAUACAAGCAUGUACUAGUUACUGGGCUAUUAGAACUCUUAAACAUUUUUAUAGUCUUUCUUCCCCAUUCAGGGGAUCCAUGUGGAGAAUUCGAUAGAUUGGUCAAGACCGGAUAGUGUUCUGGUCAAGCAUGGCUAGUGGACGAUCCCUUUUCUUGUUCUUUAAUUCAAGUUUCGGCCUUCAAUUAAGGGGUAAUAUAGAAAGAAUGGGAUUUAUAAUUAUUUUUUCUUUUUUUUUCUCUUCUUAUUCCUCAUUUUUUGUUCAUAGUUUACAAGUAAAACUGCAUAACUAUAAACUAUAAAUAUUGAUUCUAGUCGCUAUCAUUACCAAAUGUUGAAUUAGUGACCUUUUUUUGGACAACUUUGAAUGUGAUCUAAUUUUUUGUUGAUAUUUUUUUUCUUCGCACCAAAAACAACAGUGAUUUAAAAAGAAACUAUCCAAAACUACUACUAAAUUAUUGAUAUCUCUAACAUUUCAAAAAAUCUACAAACUCUAAAACAAUUAUGAUAAUACUUUCUUCUCCAACCUUCAGGGAAUAUGUACCCCUAGUAAAGCACUAUGUACAGUAGCCUAUCAUAGUGAUGAAACUAUUGUAAUAAUUGUUUAUUAAAUAAUAAAUAUAGGUAUUGAAAAUUUGAUGCUUUUUCUUUAUAGUUAUGCUAUAUAUCUUACAAUUGUUUUGGAAAGCAAUAUAAACUAUAUAAACCAAGGACAUUUUAGGAUGUUCAUUUAAAUUUUUGACCAGGUCUAAGGUUUGAUUACCAAAUCUGUAAAAUCAAGGGAGGUAAGUACAAUUUUUAAAACCUCAAGGGAGCUUAGUGAGAUUAUCUGAAACCUUAGAGGAGGUUUAUGAAAUUAUCCCUGCUUAUAAUCAACUUUGAAGUGCUACAAUCAACAUACUGGGCAACGAGAAUAAACUCCAAACUAUGAAAGUACAUGAUUUGGAAUGAUUAUAACAAAACCAGUAAUAUACUUCACCUAGGUUGCUGAAAAUUAUUGGGCAACACAGGAUCCGUUUAGAGGUGGGCCGAAGUGAGAAAAAGUCCACAACGCACCACAACUUUAAACUGGGGAAGUUUUGGGCUUUUUAUUUGAUGUUCGAAAGGUUUAGUAUUUGGUGUUCGAAAGCCGUACAAUUUAGUUCAUUAAACCCUAGUUUUAACCUUUUUGGGAUCAAAUAUUGUUUGGGGUAUCCACAAUUACCCUUUAUUACACCGAUGCAUUGUAAACUCUCCCUUAGUAAGAUUAUAAUGCCUAUUACACGCAUAACAAUCACUACAUGCAUAAUUGAAGCAAAAAAAGCUGAAAGAGUGGGUCUCAUUUGUCCAAUUAUUCAAAGCUUUGCAAAGGUUUCAUUUUAUCCAAUUAUUCAAAACUUUGCAGUGGUCCCUUGAAUCCAAUUUUCAACAUGUUUGCAAUGGUAAAAUAAUGGUAGCAUUGUUUCAAUUUCACCAGUUUGCAACAGUAAUUCUUUUUUCACUUUCAAUUGUCAAAAUUUUGUCUAUAAAUAUUGUUAACGUUUUCUCAAUUUCUUACUCUCCCACUCCAUCAUUUCUCCUACUGCAUCAUUUGUUUUCUUUAACCUCUUAUCUAAUUUUUUAAAGCAUUGGGUAUUUGUUUAAUAAUUACCUAAUUAUUUUUAGCAAAUAACAAUGCAUUUUUUGAAAUCCAUAAAAAUAUAUACUGUUAGCUUUCAAAACUUAAUAAUAUUAUUUUUUAGAAAAUAAAAAAUUUAUAGAAUACAAAAUUUUCAACAAAAGUUAAUAAUAUUUUUCCAAAAUAAAUGUAAUUAUUUUUCAGAAAAUAGAUCUAUUUAUUUACGAGAUAUGUGUUGAGAACUAUUAAAAUAAAUACAUGAUUUGAUUAUGGGUCCACGCUAUUAUACUAUGUAGAGUGUAAUCUACAGUGAGUGAUAAUAUAAUGAAAGAGGGGAUAAUAAAGUAAUGAUAUAGCAUAUGAAUUGUACUCUUCCAUUGUAAAUGCCCUUAAGACACCUUCAAGACUCUUUCUCGUUUUCAUAUAUUUUUUUCAGAGUUAAGCAUCGAGAUUUAUCUUACCCUACUGCUAUACUGUGGGAAGGAGAGUGCCCAAGUGAGUUGUGUGAAGGAGUUGGUGGUGGAUACUGGAUAGUAUAGUACCGUGCCCUUUAGAUUUAUAAGAGAAUGGAAGCCAAGUUUACUUGUAUACGCACCGAGCGAGACAUGGAGCCUCAACUUGAUGCACGAGGGAGACUUUGAGAAGUCCUCCUUUCUUGUUUGUUACUUUGUAUGCUAGUUUCCUUACAUUUAUAUGUUUUCUUAUUGUUGAGAAAGGGGUUUGCUCCGGGUUCUUAAACGCUGAUAUUUCAGCUGCAUGUUGGCAGAACAUUAUGCUAGUUUUAUUCAACUAAAUUUCGUUCUUAAGUGAGCCGAGAAAAUUUGUUUGUUUUCUUCUUUUUGGUUGGUUCAUGUCAGAUUUAGCCAACAUUUUAAAGUAAUUUUGUUGAUUUGGACUCAUUCAUACUCAUUGUGUAGUUGAGGAGGGCCAUAUUGGGAAAUAUGAAGUUUGAAUUCUUUAAGUGACUCAAUUGUUAAAUACUAAAUUUGAUAUAUUUGAGUAUAUAUAUCAUCACAUUGAAUGAUAAAGUAAAUAACUUAUCACUUAUUUUUUAGAACAAAUUUUACUAAAAAUUCAGUACCAGUUAAUUAAUUCACAUGUUCUAUUUUUUUUUGUUAUCAAACAUAUCUAACACGUUAAGGUCUAAACCCAUUAGCUUUAGGUGUUGAAUUGAGCUAUCAAAUAAGGUCUAUAAGACUUUCAGCUCAUAAAAAUCGAAAGCAAUAUUUGCAUGUUGGCUUGGUUACCGAGGUUUUCUGGUAUCUAAUUACCAAGUUAAGCAGAAAGAACAAAAGGGGAAAAAAAAAAAGAAAUAGAAGAAAAAGCAUCAGUCAUAGGUUUGCAUUUGUGUUUUCUUUGAAAUUUAGAAAGAAAACAAAUUAAUUUAGAGCAACAAAACACUAAAAUCUCUCCUCUGGUUCUCCGUUGGGCAAUACUCUUAGCAUUCAUGUUUAGUUUUUUUUUUUGUAUCGCAACAAUAACAUUUGUAGCAUUCAUGUUUAGUUGAUUAGUUUUGGAUUUUUUUGCUUCAGCAAGAACAUGUUCAAGUUAGCUCUCCAAAUUUCUUCGGUUGUUUUCUUUCUUAUUCACAUUCAAGUCCCAAACCACCAAAAUUUGACCAACGAGGUUAAUAAUCAUGACUAUUAUUUUCCAAUAUUAAUGACCAUGAGCGUUAAAGUAAACGCACGCCAAAAAGAAAAGAGAAUCAGGGCUUCAACCGUUGAAGUAGUCGAAUUAGAUGGAUAAUUAUCUUCUGCAAUGUAAGCAGCACCACACACAAAUAUAGAUACUAAGAUAAUAACAUGAUAAGACACAACAAAUUUUGUUAUCGGUCGAAAGUUGUCCUACAAUAAUCUUGUUCAUCCUCAAAUUAAACUUAUUCCAACCAUCAACUUUUUUUUUUUUUAAUCAUUCAUGUGCCAAUUGCAUAGAACCCCAACCUGCAGUCCAGCAAAAAUGAAACAAAUUUAACCAGUGCCAGCCAGCUACUCUUGCAAAUAAGGAGAAUGAUAUUCAAUUUUUGCAGAAAAGCCUGGAUUAGAGAAGCAGAGGAGUCUCCUAAUUAAUAAUAGUACUUUUUCAAGUGUCAUGACUGACAAAGUCUAUGCCCUUAUAGUCUUACUUGGGCUAUUGAAAAUUAUUUCAAGUCUAAUAAUUAAUCUUUCUUCCACGUUCAAGGAGGGUCCAUUUGUUCGGGUCAAGCACGGCCACAGAAUGGUCUCUUUUCAAGCUCUUUAAUACCGGCUUCACAGCCAUUGGGUAUUUGGCCUGGUGGCCACCACUAAAUUGUCAUUAUAUGCGACAGUUUUAAUUGAUCUUUUAUGGAAUUUUUAUUCACAUCGAAUUCCCUUGAUUAGGUUAUAGGCAUCCUCCCUCUCCUAGAAUAGGUUAGAUUAGAUUAUAGGAAUCCUAUUUUUGAGACAAAAAUAAAAAAAAAAUACUAGUUUCACAAGUAAUACGUACAUUUUAAAGUUUGAUUUCUAUUUGGGCAUUAUUUACAUAAAAGAAUAUGGUCAUACUAUUAUACAUGUGUUGAUGCAUCUUUCUCCAGAUGGAGGAACAAAAUAUAAUUCAAUCUUAAACUCAUGAAUUAUUUCUAACCAAACACCGGAAGUAACGCAAAAAUAUUUGAUCGGUGUAAGAAAACAGGCCUAAGUUUUGUAUACAGCCAAUACUUUUAUGCAAUGGGAGGCAAUUCUUAGGUAAAAUUUUGUUUUGAUCCCUUGAACGUUAGAUGUACUUCAUAUUAUACCCUAAACUUCAUUUUUUGACACUGCACCCUUUAAAGUAUAAAACUCAUCCCACUUUAUUCCUUAAACUUUAUUUCUGGAUAGUUCCCCCCCCCCCCCACAAGACGCGAACUCCUUCUCAUUUUAGUUCUUGAAUGUUGAGCAUCACUUACCUACCGUUUCAUUAGUUUUGACAAUUCUAUGGAAAAGAGUUGAUAUUUGAGGGGAUACAGUGUCUAAAAAUGAAGUUUACGAAUUAAAGUGGAUAAAUUUCAUACUUAAAGGAAGUAAAAUAUCCAAAAUUAAAAUUUAAGGACCAAAAUAGGAAUGUGUUUAUAGUGUAAGGGUCCAAAAUUAAUUGCAUAUUUCACAAGCAUUUCCACCCUAUGAAAGGAAGAUUCAAAUUAACGUAACUAUCCCAAUCCCCACAUAGCAUGCUUUCGUGUAGAUAGAUAGUAAUUAUUGUACUUCCAAUUUAAUUUCAAUAUAUCUUGAUGCCACGAGAAGUAUGGAUGCCCAUUAAUCUAGUUUGAACAAGUCCUUCAAAUUACAUUACACACAGAUUUCAAAGUCUAUAAAGUGUUCAUAAGGCUUAAAGAAAUGAAGAAAAAUAAGGCUUGCAAGGUAGAAAUAUGCGCAACCUUUUUACGUGACAAUGUUGAUAAUGACAUUAUUGCACAAGUCACUUGACCGUCUCAUCUCGGCUUGUAAUGGCGAUUUCAUGGACUAGUGCCCAUCACACUCUCUGUGAUAGGCUAAAAAGGAUGAAAGCCAGUCAAGAAAGCGACCUAAAGAUGUAAAUUUUUUCGUCCUUUUAAUUCCCAAUUCGCGUAUUGACUCUGUUGAACUUAUUGCUUACAUUACGCUUUUUACUUGAAAGCAAAUUGAAAUAUUUUGUGUUCGAGUACUUCAGCAACCAUAGAUAUUAUUUUAUUUGCAAAAAAAUUAUUUGAUUGCAUUAUAGUAAACACAUUUUUCAAUCAAUUUUUUUAUUCUUUUAAUUAUCAUUUAAUCUCAUAUAUGUUGUACUACUAAAAAUGCUACAAUAAUUUUCCAAAAUAUUAUUUCAAAUAAUCUCCUGUUUAAACACACUCCAUGUUGUUCGCUUUUAUCUUAGGAUUAGAGUGAUACACUGUGUCUGGGUAUUAGUUUCCCUAGCAAUCACAAGUACAUUGGAGUUUAUUUGGUGGAUCUUACAAUACUAUGAAUUUUGAAGUUCAAAACAAAAAAAAUCAUCCACCCAUAGAGAGCCAAAUUAAUCAUUUGCAAGUACAGAUCUCCCAGUGAUUUUGCUUAAUGUUUUAUAAACUUCUAGCAUGGAUGGCCUUCUUGCCGGAUCAGAUUGAAUGCAGUCAACUGCAAUUCUAACAAACUCAAGGAUCUCGUCUUUAUAUGCUUGCAUAAUCUCAUCCGAAUCAUA
rnacentral:lncRNA from 1 species